AUACGCCACGAAAUUUUUGGAGGAGACGGGAGAGAGUGAGGGCUUCGAGAGUGUUUUGCAAAGGGAUUGGGAGAGAUUGUUGUCAUCCUCCAAAACCGCCACGUCUUUGCGCAUCUCGUCCUCUGCUGGGUCAACUUCCUCAACCUCAUCACCACCGGAAGAAAGCGAGAGACGAAGUCACCUUUCUGAUUUCUUCCAGGGUUCGUCGGAGGCGAGAGAAGGAGAAGAGAAGUGGGGAGAACCACGAUCGGCCAGAGAGAGGGAGAGAGGAUCUUUUUUGCCAUUGAGGAUCGGUUUUCCUCUCAAUGGCUGCUAGCAUAUUUGGACGCGCUCUCCGGCGCCAAUCGACGACGCUUUUCCUAGCCCGCACCCUCUCCUCCACCGCCGCCGCUUCUGCUACCGCUCCCAUCCGCGCGACCCUGUUUCCCGGCGAUGGCAUCGGGCCCGAGAUUGCCGAAUCCGUCAAACAGGUGUUUAAUGCUGCUGAAGUGCCCAUUGAAUGGGAAGAACAUUUUGUGGGUGACCAAGUUGACCCUAGGACACAAAGUUUUUUUACUUGGGAAAGUUUAGAAUCUGUGAGGAGGAAUGGUGUUGGCUUAAAAGGGCCAAUGCCUACACGGAUUGCAAAGGGCCAUAGAUCAUUGAAUCUUGCCCUGCGGAAAGAACUUGGUCUCUAUGCCAAUGUCAGAUCUUGCUACAGUUCACGCAUCUCGUCCUCCGUUGGGCCAACUUCCUCAACCUCAUCACCACUGGUGGCAACAUCUCAUCGCACCACGACGUUUCCAGGUUCAUGGUUUGGGGAAUCAUUCCUAAUAUCCGCAUAAGCACAAGCGCAUGUUAAGUGGACUUGGUCUGUUUGAAGCUUGCAAAAAGUUGUGGGCGGAUCUUGAAGAUGCUGGUCUUGCUGUGAAGAAGGAAUCAUCUACAUCAAGAGUACCAAGAUCAUAACGUGGUGGGGAGGUGAUAGAGCCACUUGUUGGUAAGCAGUUGUUUGUAGUCAUGGGGCCUUAGGGCACUGGAAAAGGGAAACAAACCCAUCAUUCUUGAGAGGUUUGAAAAGGUACACGUGGUAUGUGAGGUUCUUUUUUUCCCAAAAUGAAGUUAAUAUUCUAUAAUAUGUUGCUGAAGGUCCUUCACGUUUAUCAUGUGUCUAUUCUGUGUUUUGUUUGGAGAACCUUGCUUUCAUUCAUCUGAUUGAUGAUCAACUUAGACUGCCCUCAUUUAUUUGCAGAUGUUUUGUGUAGUUUUGGCUUGUUUGUUUCUGAUCUAGUGCUUAUCUCUAUUCCAUGCUUGAAAAUACUGUUGAUUGUUGUACAGUUCUUUACUGCUUCUUAUUGCCAUUCAUAUGACAAUUAAUUUUUAAAUCCAUAGCUUCCGUUGUCUAGGCAGAUUACAACAGCUAUUCAUAAAUGGCUUUUCUAGUUUUCAGAUAUACUACCCAGCUGUAACAGUAGUUGCCUUUAUAAAUAUGAUAAUAUCCCUCUACCAUGAGCAUUCAAAUUUAAGAUCUUGUUCUGUAUUUUAGAUAUUUCCUUUUCAAUGAAAGAUAAAGGCAAAACAUGAGUAAGA